UGUAAACGAACCGAGCCGAGCCGAGCUUUGAAGAGCUCAAGCUUGGUUCGUUAAAAUUUUUUCGAGCUCGAGCCGAAUUCGAGCUUUACUCAUAUCGAACUCGAGCCGAGUAUUAAGAAGCUCAAGCUUGGCUCGUUUAGCAAACGAGUUUAGACGAGUCGAGCUUUUAUCGAGCUGAGUCGAGUUUUAAUCGAGCUGAGUCUCGAAUAGUUCACGAGUAAUUUAAUUUAUUUACAUGUAUAAUGAGUUUUAGUUUAAAACUAAUAAGUUUAAAACUAAAAUAAU
rnacentral:lncRNA from 1 species